CAGGCUAUGGCAAUACCAUCCUGAACACGCCGGAUCUCCUCUGAUCUGAGAAGCUAAGCAGGGUGGAGCCUGUCUGCUGACCUUACUAAGAUUUCACCAACUUUCCAUGCAUUUAUAUGUGCAUGCAUGCUUACGAAGUAUUAGAUGAAAAAUUUGAAAAGUCCCGUCUGUCCUUGGAAUGUAAUCUCUUAUGAAGCAGCCUGGAAAAAUGCUGAAGAGCAAAAGAGUACGUUUUAUUCUGAGUUCUUUUGAGGCUGAAGCUAACAUUUGAACUAUCUCCAAGAUUGUGAUCUCUGCAGAGAUAUUUAUUGCACCUUGAUGAAGAUGAAUGGUGUGACAAUAAAUAAGAUGCUUCUCUCUCCUGCCUGGGUCUGCCCUUGAGACACAAGAACGUGUGGCACACAGCACCGUGGGAGCAUCAGGGAUCCGCAUCAUGCCCGGAGCUGACAGAGUGCCCUGAGUAAUGGCGGCAACCUUCCAAAACACACUAGUGGGGCCUCCAUCUAUAGUCGUACCAGACAACAAUGACCCCUAACUCCACAAUACAUCUUGUUCAUCAUUCCUUAUAUUACCAAACAGAAUGGGAUUGGAAAUGCUGGUCAAAAGUAAUGAGGCACCUGGGAAACAGAAAGAAAGCUUGUCCUUCACAGCCCUGUCCACUGAAGUGGUUUCAGCACACAGGCCCAUCUUUGUGUUUCCUCUGGAGUGCAGAAACCAUCAUGGUCCCCAGGAUCAAAGCCAUGCAUGGCAGAGCAACAACAUAGAAGGAACCUGGAUCUUUGAAGACUUUGUGCAACACAGCUAUAUUACCAGGCCUAAAUUUGCUUAAGCAAAAGAAAAGUAAAUUUUAUCUUAUUUAAAGCACUAUUACUGAGGGUAUUCUAAAACACAUAGCCAUAUCUAGUACAAGCUAAUACAAUAAAACAAAGUACUAUAGAUGUAGUACCUAUGGAUGAUAAAAUAUAGAUAAGGUCCAGCCCUUGCUCCCACGAUUCCUUCAAUCUACUAGGGAAAAUAACAUAUACAAAUGAAUAAAUGGGCUAUAAAUGUCAUACAAACUGAGUCUUAUAGGAUAUAGAAGAGAAAAAUAAUAAUUUUAGGGUGUGAAAAGGGUAACUUUAUGGGCAAAAUAAUGUGAAAUUUGGGUCAAUAGCUGAUAUUAGAAAGGGAAAAAAUGGAAUGUUUUGGGAAUAGACUGAACUAAGAGAAGCUCAAAGAAGGGCAUUUGAGAGAACCAAAGUGAUCUAGUUUGGCUAGAGAGACAUGAAAGACAAAGGAAAUCAAGACAAGUAGAUUAAGGCUGUUUACAGAAAAUAAUGCCAGGCAAACAAUUGUGCUUUUAGGGAAUAGAAUUCAUUUAAAUCUUGGGGCACCUGGAUGGCUCAGUUGGUUGAG